AUUGAACGCUGGCGGAAUGCUUUACACAUGCAAGUCGAACGGCAGCACGGACUUCGGUCUGGUGGCGAGUGGCGAACGGGUGAGUAAUGUAUCGGAACGUGCCCAGUCGUGGGGGAUAACGUAGUGAAAAUUACGCUAAUACCGCAUACGAUCUAUGGAUGAAAGCGGGGGAUCGCAAGACCUCGCGCGAUUGGAGCGGCCGAUAUCAGAUUAGGUAGUUGGUGGGGUAAAGGCCCACCAAGCCAACGAUCUGUAGCUGGUCUGAGAGGACGAGCAGCCACACGGGAACUGAGUCACGGUGCAGACUCCGAAGGGAGGCAGCAGUGGGGAAUUUUGGACAAUGGGCGAAAGCCUGAUCCAGCCAUUCCGAGUGCAGGAUGAAGGCCCUCGGGUUGUAAACUGCUUUUGUACAGAACGAAAAGGUUUCUACUAAUACUAGGAGCUCAUGACGGUACUGUAAGAAUAAGCACCGGCUAACUACGUGCCAGCAGCCGCAGUAA
rnacentral:rRNA from 1 species